UUAACACAUGCAAGUCGAACGAUGAGGCUCCCUUCGGGGAGUACAUCAGCGGCGGACGGGUGAGUAACACGUGGGUGACCUGCCUCGAAGACGGGGAUAACUCCUGGAAACAGGAGCUAAUACCCGACGAGCUCGGUAGUUCGUUCUACCGAGCAAAUGCUCCGGCGCUUCGAGAUGGGCCCGCGGCCCAUCAGCUAGUUGGUAGGGUAAUGGCCUACCAAGGCGAAGACGGGUAGGGGGCGUGAGAGCGUGACCCCCCACACUGGCACUGAAACACGGGCCAGACUCCUACGGGAGGCAGCAGUGAGGGAUAUUGCACAAUGGAGGAAACUCUGAUGCAGCGACGCCGCGUGGGUGAUGAAGGCCUUCGGGUCGUAAAGCCCUUUUCUGGGGGAAGAGAAAGGACGGUACCCCAGGAAUAAGCCCCGGCUAACUACGUGCCAGCAGCCGCGGUAAAACGUAGGGGGCAAGCGUUAUCCGGAUUUACUGGGCGUAUAGAGCGUUGAGGCGGCUCUGUAAGUUGGACGUGAAACCCCCGGGCCCAACUCGGGGAAGCCGUUCAGUACUGCAGGGCUUGAGGGCAGCAGAGGGAGGUGGAAUUCCCGGUGUAGCGGUGAAAUGCGUAGAUAUCGGAAGGAACACCAGUGG
rnacentral:rRNA from 1 species